UGGAUGUGCAUGCCCUGUGGACGAAGGUA
rnacentral:piRNA from 1 species